AGAAUCAACGCUGGCGGCGUGCCUAACACAUGCAAGUCGAACGCGAAAGGGGCUUCGGCCCUGAUUGAGUGGCGAACGGGUGAGUAACACGUGGGUGAUCUACCUUUGAGUGGGGGAUAACGUUCCGAAAGGAACGCUAAUACCGCAUGACGUUCUGGGUUUGAAGACCUGGAAACCAAAGCCGGGGACCGUAAGGCCUGGCGCUUGGAGAGGAGCCCGCGCCUGAUUAGCUAGUUGGUGAGGUAAUGGCUCACCAAGGCAACGAUCAGUA
rnacentral:rRNA from 1 species